CAGCCGCCGCGGUAAUACGUAGGGUGCGAGCGUUAAUCGGAUUUACUGGGCGUAAAGCGUGCGCAGGCGGCCCGUUAAGACAGGUGUGAAAUCCCUGGGCUCAACCUAGGAAUUGCGCUUGUGACUGGCGGGCUCGAGUACGGUAGAGGGGGGUGGAAUUCCUGGUGUAGCAGUGAAAUGCGUAGAGAUCAGGAGGAACACCGAUGGCGAAGGCGGCCCCCUGGGCCUGUACUGACGCUCAUGCACGAAAGCGUGGGGAGCAAACAGGAUUAGAUACCCUGGUAGUCCACGCCCUAAACGAUGGGUACUAGCCGUUUGGUGCGCGAUAGCGCUGAGUGGCGAAGCUAACGCGUGAAGUACCCCGCCUGGGGAGUACGGCCGCAAGGUUGAAACUUAAAGGAAUUGGCGGG
rnacentral:rRNA from 1 species